rnacentral:rRNA from 1 species
CAGUAGCCGCGGUAAUACAGAGGGUGCGAGCGUUAAUCGGAUUUACUGGGCGUAAAGCGUGCGUAGGCGGCUUCUUAAGUCGGAUGUGAAAUCCCUGAGCUUAACUUAGGAAUUGCAUUCGAUACUGGGAAGCUAGAGUAUGGGAGAGGAUGGUAGAAUUCCAGGUGUAGCGGUGAAAUGCGUAGAGAUCUGGAGGAAUACCGAUGGCGAAGGCAGCCAUCUGGCCUAAUACUGACGCUGAGGUACGAAAGCAUGGGGAGCAAACAGGAUUAGAGACCCCCGUAGUCCCUGUCUCUUAUAU